rnacentral:tRNA from 2 species
GGGCGAUUAGCUCAGCGGUAGAGCGCCUGCCUUACAAGCAGGAUGUCACUGGUUCAAGCCCAGUAUCGCCCA